rnacentral:rRNA from 1 species
AUGCGGGGCGAUGCGCUGCCGCCUACCGCGCCCUUGGCCUUCUCUCAUCCCCUGCCCCUCCCUCCUCUACGGCGACGGCGAGCUCUUCGAGUCGGGGGCCUCGCCGCUCGUCUUCCUGCCCUGCUCCUGAUCCAGGGCGGCGGCAUGAACCUCUCCCGCGUCGACGAGAAUCUCCUCAGCUCCGUCUGCUGCGCGCGCUCCCUCGCCCUCCUCCCCCCGACCCCAGCCCCUUCCCGUGUCGAGGUUCCAGCUCGAGCUGUUGUUGCGGCGACGACUGGAUUUGAUGUCACUGAAGUUCUAAAAAUUACAUGA